AUGACAAGGGCACAGGCCAUGGGUUUUACAGGUAACAGUGGGCAUUAUUCCCCUUUGUCAGCUCCUGUUUAUGUCCCUCCCGACACCUACAACACAAUCACAGGGCAGUUCAUAGAUACUGCUCCAACCAGUCAAAUGCAGCCCCAGGUGUACCAAGCUGCUGCACAAUUAUAUGAUGCACAAAGGAACCAGCAUGCAACUCAGUUAGGAGGACCUUCAUAUUUUGCUGAAGCUACAUUGAGAGGGCCUAGACUGGAAAUUCCAUUAUUCAGUGGAGAGGAUCCGAUUGGCUGGCUAAUUACUUGUGAGAAAUUCUUUGACAUGUCAGGUACGUACUCCCCAUAA
rnacentral:rRNA from 1 species